AUUGGUCUGAUGUGUAUUUGGUGAAAUGUUGGUGAAUUUUCAUUGAAAAACGCGUGAGAUAUGAAAUAAAACGUGAAAAUACCCCGAAAUUCCCCGAAAAAUGGGUUUUUCGGGGCUGGAGGGGGGGUGGUUGGGGUUAGGAGGUAAAAAUUGCCCAAAACCGUGUUUUUAGGACCUCCUAAAAGGGUUUAGACCAUUAAAUUCAAAAUCCGUGAGGAGGGGCAUUUGGUGCCCUUACCCUGGGAUACCCUUUAGUGCGAAUGUUGUUCGUGGGUGUAAUGGUAACUUUUCGACCAUUCAAAAAGACCGCGCUAGAUGAACCAAAACAAACAUUUUGAAACGGGUAGUAUCAAAUCAAUGACGCAAUGUUUUGUUGAUUUUUGUUGAGGUUCUAAAGGUUGGAGCUUUCAGCGCUUCGUGUGCUUUCAGUAAUUCAAACAUUUCAAUCAUUAUCUUUGAGGAUCUGUUAUCAGUGAAACCAUGUGAUUGAACUUCGAGUUUUUUAAUCUCGCAUCCUUUUCUUGAUGAAGAUUUCUUUUUGAUCGUGUAGUGAGCGUUAUCACUGUUAUCGUAGUCGGUAGUUUGACCAGUUUGGCUCAUAAAAAGUACAAUACAGUUUCCUUGGAUAAUGCCGAAUAACGUUUCCAAAAGAAAUUCACGGUCUGGCAAAUCGAAAACGGGGCAGUAUUCCUAUUCUCAAUCCACUUUACCAGUCCCUGGCUCCGUCAAAAAUUUUUUUGAAGUCAGCGGUCAUGCUUUCAUUGAGUUAUCAACAAAUCAAAGACUUAGUAAAAUCAAUAAAUCACUGAAGCUACCAGUCUUAAACCCUGCCAGUAUUUCAAGAACGCAAACAUUUCUUGGAGCCGCUACCAUCAAGUCAUCUGUCUCAACUUGUCAAACGGAACGAAGAGAAUUAGUUGACAGUAACAGCGUUAAAUCAGAGACCAACUCUCAACCAUCUUUUAUUCGUAGUUUGUCAGCAUCUGAGUCGGAAUCCUGGUCUGAUGACUUAGAAAAUGAAGCAACUGCUCACUUACUCGCCAAUUUGACACAUAUAGACGAUAUGUUGUAUUGCACUUCACCAGUUACAAGUAACCAAGAACUAUUUCACGAGAUCAAGCUAUGGCAAAGCCGUUUUCCUUUUUUAAGGGUGGUUGGCAAAAAAGUGAAGAUACUGGACAACAGUACCAACAUCAACCAAGAAACCAGUAGAGAGAAAGAAGAAAUCAUUUUCAAUGAUGCUAAUCUCACUAGGACUGACCUUGAACCAGUAACAUCCAACUCAGGGAAUAUUGUACACCUGAUUAAGCAACUCAGAAGGUCCGUGAUAGAUCAUCUGACAACUCACUUCAUUUAUGCCAUGAAAGAUGAAAUAAUUCAGUGUUCGAAACAUAAAAUCUGUAAACCAGCAUCCAAAGUAAAUAAAGCUCCAACCUGUCGUGUUGAUAAAAUGUCUGACAUUAAUGACAAUAGUCUGCGAGUACAUGAUUUGGAUAACAUUUUGAAUAUUUCACCAAUAUCACUCAAGGCAACAGGGCCAAAAUCAAAUUACUUAUCUUCGUUUUCAACCAAUAGAGUGAGAAAUUCGCAGAUAAAAUCCUCUAUUAGUCAACCAAUCCAUCUUCGCAUUGAGCAGAGAACAUCGACCAAAAUCACUCAACAACCUUUCAGAAAUGCAACCGAUAAUGUGAAAAUCAGUAUCGUGGCAAAUUUAAGCAGAACUUCCAAGCCUGCCAAAAAGUCUCUCGAACUGAAAUUGAGGAAGGACAACCUGAAGACCUCCAAAAAUAUCGAAUCAUCAACUUCAAAUCGAUCUCGUUUUUGUACCCUGCCACCGUUGAAAACUCCUGGACUCCGCCCUACCUCAGCGGUAUACAGUAGCUUCAAAAAGCUUCCCAGCGAUUCUAGACCAACGUCAUCUUUCAUCCUUGCUCCUUCAUCGCUAAUGAAUGAAUCUUCGGAAAACGAUUUAUCUUUAUGAACUGAAGAGUGUUUGAAUUGCAAACACUUUUGAGAUGUCAAUUUCAUUGCGUGUCAUCACGUAGUUCAAUGACUUGAACUGUUUAGAAGAUACUCACAAGAUGAAUGAAUAUACUAACACAGGAUCAGUCCUGUCUUUAGCAAGCAAUGUAUUCAUUUUUGUUGAUGGUUCUCAUUGUGGUGAGUUUUGCACUAUCAAAUUCUGGUCCUUAAAAGUGUUACCUCAGUUACGUAUCAUCUCAAGCUGCAGUUGUAACAAAAUUAUAAAAAUAAAGCAACGGGCCGUCAGAAGAUGUGCAAAUUAGAAAAAAGUGCCACUUGUUUUCUCUUCAAAAUCUUACACAAAAAAACGUUUCAUGCAGAGAGUAGUUCAAUAAGCAAUUCCUGAAUGAGGCAUUAACAUGUAGUUUUAGUAAAGAUCGAAAAUGGAAGAUAGAUUACACAAAUGGCGUAUUUUGUAUUUUUGCUAUUUAACCGAUGUUAAUUAUAAACACUUUAUAUCUUGUUCAAGAGCUGAUUCUCCAACUGCCUACAGCAAGAUUUGUUUUUGUCUUGAAAUUUUGAAGAGAAAACAUGCUGGAUGCUGCUUUGAUUCACACCUUGUUCAUAGGCCCAUUGAAGGGUCGGGAAAUAGUCUUGUACAUUUUAAUCGCUCAGUCUAUUUGGCUGGUAUAUUACAUUAUAGAAAAAGCACCAAAAUUGUUUUUGUUACUUUCCAGCGUACAAUUUUACAGCCCGCGAAUAGUAGUGCUCACACAGUGUGUGAAAAACUGACUUACCUGUCUUGAAAAACGUUCAAUCCAACAUUAUCUCCACUCUUUAGAAAGCUAUGGAUAGGGGUUGGAUGUCAAAAACUUUCAAUCACUUUAAAUUUCAAUUGAUUUUAAACAUAUGAACCCUGCAAUUUUCUUUAAUAAUUUUAACUUUAAAAUAAUCUUGAAAAAUCAUUUGUUUUCCAUGAGUAUGCUUACUUUAAUAGACGUAAUGAUACUGAAAGGAACUAUAGUACAAAUGAAUUAAAUCAAAAGAAACCACGAAGCACUUAAAUCUUAUGUACACGGUUCCCUCUAAUUUUAUUAAUUUCCACAUAGUUCGAUUCAGCACAAUUACAUUCAUUAAUAUGCGAAUGUUUUUAAAAACUAGGAUCAUCACCUCGGAACGUGCUUUUUUAUGUUGGGUCAUUUUUGGCUUAUUGACAUCUAAGUGAGUACUUAAUAUUUUGAAACCUAUCUCAUUACAUGAAGAAUAAUAUAAAUAUUGCCCUUUCCAGGAAAAUUUAUCCACUCAGGAGUUGUAAUCUCCUAAAGGUUUGGUGAGAAGUCCAAUUGAAAGUUCCAUUGCCGAGUAAUGCUCUCCUCACUGAAACUGUGCUGAAACUCGAUCAGAU
rnacentral:lncRNA from 1 species